UAUUCAACCAACCCUACUUUCUUCUCCUCCUUAAAUCGCUAACGGCAGUAGCAACCCCCCCUCCUGUUCGAGUGACAUCUUAAUUAGCCAGAUCUCCGGUGAUUUGCAUACAAACUGGGUUGGUCGAAUUGUGUUAAGCAAAGUAACUAAUCCUACCGAGCAAACCGAAGGUCAUUAUCGUUUGGAACAUGGACUUGCUAUCUGGGAGUGC